rnacentral:rRNA from 1 species
GACGAACGCUGGCGGCGUGCCUAAUACAUGCAAGUCGAACGAGAGCGACCGGUGCUUGCACUGGUCAAUCUAGUGGCGAACGGGUGAGUAACACGUGGGUAACCUGCCCAUCAGAGGGGGAUAACAUCCGGAAACGGAUGCUAAAACCGCAUAGGUCUUCGAGCCGCAUGGCUUGAAGAGGAAAAGAGGCGCAAGCUUCUGCUGAUGGAUGGACCCGCGGUGCAUUAGCUAGUUGGUGAGGUAACGGCUCACCAAGGCCGUGAUGCAUAGCCGACCUGAGAGGGUGAUCGGCCACAUUGGGACUGAGACACGGCCCAAACUCCUACGGGAGGCAGCAGUAGGGAAUCUUCCGCAGUGGACGCAAGUCUGACGGAGCAACGCCGCGUGAGUGAAGAAGGUUUUCGGAUCGUAAAACUCUGUUGUUAGAGAAGAACAAGUGCUAGAGUAACUGUUAGCGCCUUGACGGUAUCUAACCAGAAAGCCACGGCUAACUACGU